rnacentral:tRNA from 1 species
GCGGGUGUCGUAUAAUGGCUUAUUAUGUCUGCCUUCCAAGCAGAAGACGUCAGUUCGAUUCUGAUCACCCGCU